GACGAACGCUGGCGGCGUGCUUAACACAUGCAAGUCGAACGGAAAGGCCCUGCUUGCAGGGUACUCGAGUGGCGAACGGGUGAGUAACACGUGGGUGAUCUGCCCUGCACUUCGGGAUAAGCUUGGGAAACUGGGUCUAAUACCGGAUAGGACCGCACUUUAGUGUGUGUGGUGGAAAGUUUUUUCGGUGUAUGAUGAGCUCGCGGCCUAUCAGCUUGUUGGUGGGGUAAUGGCCUACCAAGGCGGCGACGGGUAGCCGGCCUGAGAGGGUGUACGGCCACAUUGGGACUGAGAUACGGCCCAGACUCCUACGGGAGGCAGCAGUGGGGAAUAUUGCACAAUGGGCGCAAGCCUGAUGCAGCGACGCCGCGUGGGGGAUGAAGGCCUUCGGGUUGUAAACUCCUUUCGCUAGGGACGAAGCUUUUUGUGACGGUACCUAGAGAAGAAGCACCGGCUAACUACGUG
rnacentral:rRNA from 1 species